rnacentral:lncRNA from 1 species
GGUGACCCUGGUUCAGGGUCUCUCCUGAGGUAGGGUGCAUGACUUUGGUCCAGGUCUCUCCUGAGGUAGGGUGGGGGACUUUGGUCCGGUGCUCUCCUGAGGUACGGUGGGUGACUUUGGUCCAGCGUCUCUCCUGAGGUAGGGUGGGUGACUUUGGUCCGGGGUCCCUCCUGAGGUUUUGGUCACAUACUGUCUGGGCUGCAGUCCUUUGAGGAUAUGACCAGCUGGAGAGUCCAUUUCCAAGGACUUUUGUAUGUGUCUCCCUCACAUGGCUGGCUGCUGACCAGAGGCCUCAGUCCCUGUCAGGGCCUCUCCACCAGGCUCUUUGAGCAUCCCUGCUGCAUCCUCUAGAGUGAGCAUCCCAAAAGAGCCAAGCAGAAGCUCCCGAGCCUUUUAUGACCUGGUCUCAGAAGUCACAGCAUUACUUCCACCAUAUUCCAGUGGUCACACAGGCCAACCUAGAUUCAGUGUAAGAGCAGGCUACCCAAGGCCAAGCAUACCUGUACCAGAAGGGAUCACGAGGUCAUCUUGGAAGCUGGCUAGGACCUUGGAGGGAGGAGCCCUAUGAGACCAAAGCUUGGAUUUUUAAAGUGGGGUUGUUUGUUUUUGAGGGGCACCUGGGUGGCUCAGUCAGUUAAGCAUCUGCCUUUGGCUCGGGUCACGAUCCCAGAGUCUGGGAUCGAGCCCAUGUGUCAAUCUCCCUACUUAGCAGAGAGUCUGCUUCUCUCUCUCGCCCACCCCACUCAUGCUUUCUCUCAAAUAAAUAAUCUUUAAAAAAAAUAAAGUUUUAGGGUGAGUGAGUGGCUCAGUCGGUUGGGCAUCUGCCUUCAGCUCAGGUCAUGAUUCCUGGGAUCGAGUCCCAUGUUGGGCUCCCUGCUCAGUGGGGAGUCUGCUUCUCCCUCUGCCACUCCCCUGCUUGUUCUCUCUCUCUCUUUCUCUCUCAAAAAAUAAAUAUAAAUAUUUAAAAAUAAAUGAACUUUUAAGAAAUAAAGGUGUUUUUGGGGGGAGGGAUUGGAGAGCACACAAGCAGAGGAGGGGCAGAAGGAGAGAGAAUCUUAAGCAUGUUCACACCCAGUGCAGAGCAUGACUCAGGGCUCGAUUUCACCAUCCUGCGAUCAUGACCUAAGCCAAAAUCAAGCCUAACGCUUAACCGACUGAGCCACCCAGAUGCCUCUGCAGUGCUUGGAUCUUUGAUGUGUGUUGGCAGGAGGGUUGGAUCCUAAGCAGUUGAUGCUGGAAUUUCUAAGAAGGUGGGUGCAGAAAUGGUAGUGCUGGAGCCAAAAAUCUGCCCCUGCUGACUGUGCAGGAGGGCACAAGAAAGUCCCUUCCCUUUUUGCACUUCCAGGUCUCCCCCAGGUGGCCCCUAUUAGCAGGCCAACCUUAACAGGAAACCGGCUGCCAGGGAAGCCUGGGAAAUGUAGUUUUCAGCGGUCCAACAACAGCAUCACAGAAAGUGGGAGGGGAGUGGGUUUAGGGCUGAGACAGGGUAACUAGCACAGUCCACCCCAUUAGCUACCUGUCACCCAUACACAUCUUUCUACCAUAAUAAUUAUGGUACUCUUAACAACUUCAGGCUACCCCCAACUAGGAGCAAGGAUCCUUGUGCCUAGACACACCCUUCUCUUCCUAAAAGGGAGGGAUAGCAGCAUGCUAGAGUCAUAUCCAUCACUCAGAUUCCACUUGCUUGUUCCAUAACUAAAAUAGUGAAGUUCACCACCAAUAUCAUCAAAACGUUUACAUCAAAUAAGGGAAGGGAGGGUAGGUAGCUGAUGGACACACAAGCAAAGAAGAAAAUAUCCAGAGUUGCUGCAGCCCGUACUUCCAGAACUGGUUCUGAUGUCUUAAUUGGUUUUUAACACUUAAAAUGAGACACAAUUCACAUGCAAGUCACCUACUUCUAAAGUAGUUUCUAUGUCUUCAGAGCUGUGUGACCAUCACCAGUUUAAUUUUAGAACAUUUUCAUUGCCCGGAAGGAGAGCCUAUGCCUAUUAAGUCAUCUCUAAUACCCCACACACAUAGUUCAUCCGUCCCCCAGCCCUAGGCAACCCCUAAUCCGCUUUCUGUCUCGGGAGAUAGAUAUGCUUUGGUCAUUCAAUAUCUAGUCUUCUGUGCCUGAUCUUUCAGUAUAUUUUCAGGGUUCAUCCAUGUCCUAGCAUGUAUCAGUGCUUAAUCCCUUCUUGUACAGAAUAAUGUUCCAUUGUAUGGAUAUACCACUACUUAUCUGUUCAUCAGUUGGGCAUGUGAUCUGUUUCCAUUUAUUGGUUCUUAUGAACAAUGCCACUAAGAAACUUGGUGCAUGAGUUUUUGUGCAAAUACGUUUCCAUUUUACUUGGCUAUAUGUUCCAGAAUUUUGAGGGAACUUCCAAAUUGUUCUCGACAUCAGCUGUGCCAUUUUACAUUCCUACCAGCAAUGUGUGAGGGUUUCAACUUCUUCUGUCCUUGCUAACACUUAUUAUUGUCUGUCAUUUUUAUUACAGCCUUCCUUGGAAGUGUGAGGUGGUACCUUGUGGUUCUGAACCGCAUUCCCUUAAUGACCAAUGAUGUUGAUCACCUUUUCAUGUGCUCACUGGCCAUUAGUGUAUCUUCUCUAGAGGAAUGUCUGUUCAAGUCCUUUGCCCAUUUUUAUUUUUUUAAGAUUUUAUUUAUUUGACAAAGAGCACAAGCAGGGGGAGCAGCAGGCAGAGGGAGAGGGAGAAGCAGGCUCCCCACAGAGCAGGGAGCUCAACGCAGGGCUCAAUCCCAGGACCCCAGGUUCAUGAGCUGAGCCAAAGGUAGAUGCUUAACCGAACCACCCUGGCAACCCUCCUUUGCCUAUUUUUAAUUGGAUUAUCUCUCUUUUUAUUAUUGAGUUGUAAGUGUUCUUUAAAUAUUUCGGGUACAAAUCCCUUAUCAGACACAUGAUUUGCAAAUAUUUUCUCCCAGUCUGUGGUUGUCUUCUCACUGUCUUGAUAGUGUCCUAUGACGUAUGGAAGUUUUAAAUGUUGAUGAAAUGGAUGGAUGGCUUAAAAGACACAAACAGCUAAAACUCACCAAAGAAGAAAUAGAAAAUGUGACUGAUCAUUUGCCAAAUGAACUAAAUUUAUAGUUUAAAACCC